AUGAUUCCUAUUUUAGAGCUAAAGAAACUGAGCCCCAGAAUCACCAGACCAGAGUCACUUCCUGAUGAAUUACAGUCAGGAGUCCACAGACUGCUCUCUGAACCAGUGUGCUCUGUGGCCUUUCUAAGAAAAACAAGAGACUUAGGACAACCGAGAACACUGAUAUUUGCAUUUAAUUGGACACAAGAUGAAGAAGGAGCAUACGUUCGCUAAGGAUUCUGUCUGCUUGCUUCUGUAGAUCUACGUAUUAAGGAGUUCUUCUUGCUUAGGAGUUGAUCUGCUCUGCGGUCGUACCGCUGUGGAGUUUGCCCACCAUUUAUCUUGUCUUUGCCAGAAGAAAUCCUGGUUGGAAUGAAACAGUGCAUCUCUGUCUGAUUACUAUGGAAGGUGAUAAACUGACGCUCACUUAUUAAAGUUACAUCUCACUCCCCCACAGAAAACCAUUCUUCAACGUGACUAGAAACCAAGCCCU
rnacentral:lncRNA from 1 species